rnacentral:misc_RNA from 1 species
UAACCGUAAGUGAACCUGCGGAAGGAUCAUUACAGUAUUCUUUUUGCCAGCGCUUAAUUGCGCGGCGAAAAAACCUUACACACAGUGUUUUUUGUUAUUACAAGAACUUUUGCUUUGGUCUGGACUAGAAAUAGUUUGGGCCAGAGGUUUACUGAACUAAACUUCAAUAUUUAUAUUGAAUUGUUAUUUAUUUAAUUGUCAAUUUGUUGAUUAAAUUCAAAAAAUCUUCAAAACUUUCAACAACGGAUCUCUUGGUUCUC